rnacentral:rRNA from 1 species
AUUGAACGCUGGCGGCAUGCUUUACACACGCAAGUCGAACGGUAACAGGGUGCUUGCACCGCUGACGAGUGGCGAACGGGUGAGUAAUGCGUCGGAACGUGCCGAGUAGUGGGGGAUAACGCAGCGAAAGUUGUGCUAAUACCGCAUACGUACUGAGGUAGAAAGUGGGGGACCUUCGGGCCUCACGCUAUUCGAGCGGCCGACGUCUGAUUAGCUAGUAGGUGAGGUAAAGGCUCACCUAGGCGACGAUCAGUAGCGGGUCUGAGAGGAUGAUCCGCCACACUGGGACUGAGACACGGCCCAGACUCCUACGGGAGGCAGCAGUGGGGAAUUUUGGACAAUGGGCGAAAGCCUGAUCCAGCCAUGCCGCGUGUCUGAAGAAGGCCUUCGGGUUGUAAAGGACUUUUGUCAGGGAGGAAAUCCCUAGUGCUAAUAACACUGGGGGAUGACAGUACCUGAAGAAUAAGCACCGGCUAACUACGUGCCAGCCGCCGCAGUAACAC